CAGAAUAAACUUGGUGGGUUGUAGCUGGCUCCUUGGAGCAUGUGCACGCUCAUCACCUUUAUCCAUCCACCUGUGCACAAUCUGUAGUCUUGAGGGAAUUGAAAAAGCAGACUGAUCAUUGAUUGGUUUGUGUUAUCAUUCUCUUUGAGUCUAUGUAUUCUUCAUAUACCACAUAGCAUGUCACAGAAUGUAUUUAAUGGGCCUUGUGCCUAUAAAAACUAUAUA
rnacentral:misc_RNA from 1 species